UUUUUUAAGUUUGCAUAUGUGUUUAUGUGUUUUAUUUUUUGUAUCAUAUUUGAUACAUCAGACUUUUAUGGGUAAUAUAGUAUUAUAUAGGAGGGGACAAAAACAUUUUACAAUUUAGUUUUAGUCCAGUAGCUUUAGAUCAGUAAAUGCUCACCCUGAAAUAUUUGUAAUAAUAUUAAAGUUACACUCAUAUUUACUUUGUAAAAAUCAUUAAAGAUUUCACAGCAAAAAUACACAUCUACCACAACCUGAAGUUGGACAUUUUUUAGGAGGCCUUUUACCUGCUAAAAAUCUAUUGACUGUGAAUAAGAGGGCAGAAGGCAUAUACUUUUUUUGUGCAGUCUGCCAUUUAGCUUGUGCACAAGUUUUUUUUUAUAAGCAUUUGAGCACACAAAAAACACUUGGAAAAUAAAAGUUUAUUGGAACUCAAGCUUGUUUUUUUUUCAGAUUUUGGUUGUUAUGAUGCAGUGGCUGUAUAAAGGGUUUUUUGUUGUGUUUUAUGUUGUUAUAUCAGAAUCUAAAAUUACAAACCCAAAUAUUUAUUUCAUUGUGUAUUUGUUGAGCUUCGUUGAUACAGUAUCGGGACAGUGCUGGCAGGCCGCAAUCUACUCUGAGAGCGUAGUGUCUCCGGAGCUGAGGAGCAGCAGUAUUCUGAGGGUUCCAGAUGUGUUAUCUCUGGCCCAGUGUGCAGGGGCCUGUUGUGAUCUCCCAGGCUGUAACCUGGCCUGGUUUUUUGAGCGCCGCUGCUAUGUCCUCAGUUGUCAACACAAAGAGAACUGCCAGCCAAAGAAGAGACCUGGUACUGACUCUCUCCUGGCAUUUUUGCAACGUGGGCCUCCAAAACACUGGUUCUGCAAUCCCUGGUUCGAGGAGAGUCUUUCCCAAACCACUGGCAGCCCCUGCCCAGUCACAGGGGCUCGGAGGGCCCCAUGAAGGACCUUGCCUUGUUGGAAGGCAUUCAGGAAAACACUGAUGUUGAGUAUGCUGAGGGUUUCAGAAGUUUGGAUGACAAAAGGGCUGGAGACAGAAAUGUUGCAACAGUAGAACAAGAAGGGCAGCCUGGGCUAUAUGGAAAAAGAAAAGAAGGAUUCAACCAAUCACAGACAGAGGAAAUUGGUGAGGACAGACUAACGACAAUGCAGGGCUCUCUUGAAAGCAGCCCCUUACCUCCAAGUCCCAUUCCAGACAUGAAAAAUGAAAGCAAAUCAUCUCUUAUUGAAGCAGAUUCUGAUGUUACGCCUUCAGUAAUCAUGGCACUUAACACAUGGAGGGAGACGCACAAAAGUGAGGAAGAAAACCAAGUACACAAUACUAGACAAUAUGGAUGAGCAGGAGAGGAUGGAGCUGCAGCCAAAGUACAGUAAGUUUCAGACCCGAUUUAUUUUAUGCCACAGUAUUUUUUGCUGUGAGGUAAAAAGACAAACACUCUUGAAGUAGUUUACAUGACCCUGGUCAUCAUAGACAGACCAUUAGAUUCGUAAUUGCAGUCACUGCAUUCACUUAUCUCAAUUUGUCAUCUUCAGACAUUAAACACAGGAGCACAGAGCAGGACAACCUUUUCAACAACGGGAAAUCUCGAAACAGAGCCAAUUGAGUGGUCAGAAAUGGAGACACUCUCAGCCUUUGUCCUGUGGAAGGUUGAGUCUCACAUGGACAUUUCUUUAUAGUGGAUAUUUACAAUGCAAGGGUAUUGUUGAAUACUCCACAAAUACAGAUUUAGACCGGCUGAAUGAAUGGGCUGCUAAACUUAUCGACUAUUGAGUGCAGUUAGUCUUGUACACUGUAAAUGCAAACAUGCUAUUUAAUUAAAAAUAUUAAUUUGACUUUAAUCAGUUUUUAUCAACCUGCUAUUUACACUUGCUUUUAGUAAGUUACUUGUACUUUGAGGUUGAAAAAUCUUACCAGCUCAGUUUACUUGAGUUAGAUUAAUUUAGAAAAAGUAAGUUCAUGAUCUGUGGGCAUGCGCAGAUCAGUCCUCUCUACGCUAGACGGCGAUAUUUGUUCACCACUAUGGCCCCUCCCUUCAAUAGCUACUAUUGGCCAGGCGUCCAUGCUUACGUACCUGAUUUGUACAGGUCAUAUCCCCUGACUAACCUUAACCAAUCCAGGUGAAAUGCCUAACCCCAACCAAUCAAGCUGCUUCGUAGGGCGGGUCUUGGCGUGGCGGGAUUCGUAAAUUUGCAGAGAUGUCACAUCGUGCCUGCAACUGAACUGACCAGGUGGAGCUGGACCUAAACAUCGCUUCAACUGGGCUUUUGUUUAUCUUCAUCAUAUCAGCGAUUCUUGUGCUUGGCACACUCAUUUGGCUCAAGCAGAUGGUGAUCAAUCCACACAUAGGUAGUCCCAGCAGUAAAAGAUACUGUGGGUUCGAUUUAUAGCCCAUUAAGAUGAUAACUUCAGCAGUGUUGCACAGGCACUGAUCAGAAAAUACCCCUGCCUCGCUGAGCCUGGACCACACAAAUGGUAUGGCUGGAAAAACAGCCUUAAAUUUAAGAUGGCCAAUUAUCGCACAAAGCUUCGAAAAGCUGGAUGUGAGGAUGUAGCAAUCCUGGUUGAAAAUGGUUGAACGAUGGCCAGCACUCUUCACAGAGAGACAGGUGUUUGCUGAGUUUAAUAGAAUCGCCAGUAAGAAUCUUGAGGGAGACUUUUUUUGAGGCUCAGGACCAGUACGCACCACGUUUCAUCGAACUCUUCAAAACAAAGAAGGGAACUGUUGGCCAGAAACUCAGGGAGCUGAUUCAGCACAUAAGCUGUAAGACACCAGACGUGACAGUACUUCACUCUGUUGUCCUCAAAGACAUUCCCAUUUUACUCUGUGAUGAAUCCAGUGAAUUCUAUAAGACCUGCUCUGAUACAACGAGAGACGAGGCCCUAGAAUGCAUCACUGUUGGUGUGCUGACAGUUGUCAGUGAACAUAGUCCUCAUGAGGGUCAAAGCUCAGUGGACCUCCAGCCCAUCUCCACUGCCAUCAUUCUGGAGGGAGGUAUUGUCAUGGAUCAUAUUAAAAACUUGCCUCAGGCAGUUUGUCUGUUGUUUGAACUUACAUAUGUAUUGCAUUUGGAUUACCCAAAAUGCAUGUCAAAUACACUCCACUUCAUUCAGACUGUGAUGCUUGGACUGGGAAAGAAAAAAACUCCCAUCAAAACUGUUAACUCUGAAGAACAGUCUUUUGGGUUAGAACAGUAAAGAGCCGUCAGCUGUCAGAUAGCACUUUGUAAGCUUUGCAGCCAUUAAUGUUUGAUGCUUUCAUGCAACUGUUCACGCUAAUUUACGAUCUCAUUUUAAAAAAGAAAAGAAAAAAUCCAUGGAAGUCUGUACCAUGUUAUGCAGGUAUGCUAAUGGUGGAAAUAGAGCUGUUUGCAAAGUGUUGUUAGUUGUUAUUAGAUGAUAAUGACAGAAAAUAACCUAGCAAGGUUGUCCUGUUUACAUUUUGUGUUUUUGGAAAACUUUUAAUAGUUUUAAUGUAGUACAAAUAGAAACCCCAAGGAGUGAUUUUUUUUUUUCUUUGUGGUGGUUUAAUCUUUGGACUGUUCAAUUUGGGAAACAAAAGCAUUCGUUGUACUUACAGCUUUGAUCAGAAAUGCACUGAUUUUUCCAUGCACUGAAGUCCUGUAGUUAUCAGGUUUUUACCUGUUUAAUAUUGGGAGACUCUUAUUAGCUCACAGAAAUGUGGUUUUAUUUUUUAUAUUUUUCCUUUAUUUUCUACAGUUAAAUCAAACAACAACUUUGUUGUUUAACCUCUGUUUGUACUUGAAUGUGCAUUGAAUAAAUGUUGUAAUGGAGCUGAA